GAUGAACGCUGGCGGCGUGCCUAACACAUGCAAGUCGAGCGAACAGACGAGGAUUUCGCUCCUCUGACGUUAGCGGCGGACGGGUGAGUAACACGUGGAUAACCUACCUAUCCGACUGGGACAACUUCGGCAAACCGGAGCUAAUACCGGAUAAUAUAUACAUCCGCAUGUUUCAUUAGUGUAAGACGGUUUUGCUCUCACGUAUAGACGGAUCCGCGCCGCAUUAGCUAGUUGGUAAGGUAACGGCUUACCAAGGCGACGAUGCGUAGCCGACCUGAGAGGGUGAUCGGCCACACUGGAACUGAGACACGGUCCAGACUCCUACGGGAGGCAGCAGUAGGGAAUCUUGCGCAAUGGGCGAAAGCGUGACGGAGCAACGCCGCGUGAGUGAUGAAGGUCUUAGGGUCGUAAAACUCUGUUAUUUGGGACGAAGAAAUGUCUAAGUAACUCUGCGCGUAUUGACGGUACCGUAAGAGGAAGCCACGGCUAACUACGUG
rnacentral:rRNA from 1 species